ACCAAGCUGACGAGUCCCAAGUAGGACGAAACGCGCAUCCUGGAU
rnacentral:hammerhead_ribozyme from 1 species